rnacentral:rRNA from 1 species
GACGAACCGUGCGAACGUUAUUCGGAAUCACUGGGCUUAAAGCGCGUGUAGGCGGAUGGCCGCGUCGGAGUUGAAAGCCCCCGGCUCAACCGGGGAUCGGGCUCCGAUACGGGUCAUCUGGAGGAACGUAGGGGGAGCUGGAACUUCCGGUGGAGCGGUGAAAUGCGUUGAGAUCGGAAGGAACGCCCGCGGCGAAAGCGAGCUCCUGGACGUUUACUGACGCUGAGACGCGAAAGCCAGGGGAGCGAACGGG